AUUGAACGCUGGCGGCAUGCUUUACACAUGCAAGUCGAACGGUAACAGGUCUUCGGAUGCUGACGAGUGGCGAACGGGUGAGUAAUACAUCGGAACGUGCCUAGUAGUGGGGGAUAACUACUCGAAAGAGUAGCUAAUACCGCAUGAGAUCUACGGAUGAAAGCAGGGGACCUUCGGGCCUUGUGCUACUAGAGCGGCUGAUGGCAGAUUAGGUAGUUGGUGGGGUAAAGGCUUACCAAGCCUGCGAUCUGUAGCUGGUCUGAGAGGACGACCAGCCACACUGGGACUGAGACACGGCCCAGACUCCUACGGGAGGCAGCAGUGGGGAAUUUUGGACAAUGGGCGAAAGCCUGAUCCAGCAAUGCCGCGUGCAGGAUGAAGGCCCUCGGGUUGUAAACUGCUUUUGUACGGAACGAAAAGCCUGGGGCUAAUAUCCCCGGGUCAUGACGGUACCGUAAGAAUAAGCACCGGCUAACUACGUGCCAGCCGCCGCAGUAACAC
rnacentral:rRNA from 1 species